rnacentral:rRNA from 1 species
UACAGAGGUGGCGAGCGUUGUUCGGAUUUACUGGGCGUAAAGGGCGCGUAGGUGGUUUCGUGUGUCGGAUGUGAAAUCUCACUGCUCAACGGUGAAAUUGCAUUCGAAACUGCGGGACUUGAGUGCAGGAUAGGAGAGCGGAAUUCUUGGUGUAGCAGUGAAAUGCGUUGAUAUCAAGAGGAACACCGGUGGCGAAGGCGGCUCUCUGGAAUGCAACUGACGCUGAGGCACGAAAGUUGGGGGAG